AUGAAGGCUAAUGGUAGGAGGAGAAAACACCUGAUUCCGUGUAUUACCGACGGGACUCAUACGGCGGCCACAGUGGAAGACAAGCCGGAGCUUGCAAUGGGCUUCUUCAUGGAGCUCAUGGGCACACCCAAAGAGCGUCCUAGGCUGAUCAACCUUGAUGAGAUACGACUAGGGGCGAUUGACCCGGACAUGGCACAAGCUUUGGAGGCUCCUUUUUCAGCCGAGGAGGUCAAGCGUGUGGUAUUGGGCAUGCCGUCGGACCGCGCACCCGGGCCGGAUGGAUUCUCCGGGCUGUUCUACCAGUCCUGUUGGGAUAUAAUUGCCCAGGACUUCAUGGAGGUGACGGAACAGCUCCACACGAGCAGUUUCAACUCGUUCGAGAUCCUCAACGAGUCCAUCCUGACGCUAUUACCCAAGAAGGAGGGAGCGCUGCAUCUCAGAGACUUCAGACCGAUCAACCUUAUUCACGGAGCUGCAAAGAUAUUUGCGAAAGUUUUAGCGCUGCGGCUGUCCCCCCUGUUGCCGAAGAUUAUUACCCAGGCAUAG
rnacentral:rRNA from 1 species